rfam:Phaseolus vulgaris cultivar G19833 chromosome 6, whole genome shotgun sequence.
AGGUGGGAUCAUACCAAUACUAUUGCACUGGAUCCCAUCAGAACUCCGCAGGCAAGUGUGCUUGGGAGAGAGUAGUACUAGGAUGGGUGACCUCCUGGGAAGUCCUCGUGUUGCACUUC